CAAGGCAGGGUGGACUAACGCCGUAUGCAAUAUGCUCUAAAAGGAAGGAAGCCCGGGGAAACUCGGAUAAUACUCCAUAAGAUUUUGAUUGGCAUCGAUUAGAAUUGAAAGAUUUAUUGGAUAAGGAUAGGCAUGCGUCAGAUUAGUUAGUUGGUAGUGUAACGGACUACCAAGGCGAUGAUCUGUAGGGGGCCUGAGAGGGUGAACCCCCACACUGGUACUGAGACACGGACCAGACUCCUACGGGAGGCAGCAGUGAGGAAUAUUGGACAAUGGAGGGAACUCUGAUCCAGCCAUCCCGCGUGCAGGAAGACGGCCCUAUGGGUUGUAAACUGCUUUUGUAUGGGGAUAAAUCUACUUACGUGUAGGUAGUUGAAGGUACCAUACGAAUAAGCAUCGGCUAACUCCGUGCCAGCAGCCGCGGUAAUACGGAGGAUGCAAGCGUUAUCCGGAUUCAUUGGGUUUAAAGGGUCCGUAGGCGGGCUGAUAAGUCAGUGGUGAAAUUUUGUCGCUCAACGAUAAAACUGCCAUUGAUACUGUUAGUCUUGAGUGAUAUUGAAGUAGCUGGAAUGUGUAGUGUAGCGGUGAAAUGCAUAGAUAUUACACAGAACACCGAUUGCGAAGGCAGGUUACUAAGUAUUAACUGACGCUGAAGGACGAAAGCGUGGGGAGCGAACAGGAUUAGAUACCCUGGUAGUCCACGCAGUAAACGAUGCUAACUCGUUUUCGGGGAGAGAUCUUCGAACCAAGAGAAAAAAAAAAAAAAA
rnacentral:rRNA from 1 species